AAUUCUUUAAACAUUGUGAAAAGACAAGAUAUCUAGCAUUUUGUUUCUCUUAACUUGGACAUUAUGGAUUUGUAAAUUCAACCACUUGUACAAGUCUCUCUGGACAUUCGGGUUACUACUUGCAAGUUGCAACACUUAUGCUCUCUCUUAUUUAUGCUUUCUAAUGAAUAUUUCUUUUUCCUUUCGCAAGAUUGCUUACUACUUACGAGCUACGACACUUGUGCUCUCUCUUAUUUAUGCUUUCUAAAUGAAUAUUCCUUUUUCCUCUCGCAAGAUUGUUUUUAUUCUAUUUAUGUA
rnacentral:lncRNA from 1 species